rnacentral:rRNA from 1 species
AGCGAACGCUGGCGGCAGGCCUAACACAUGCAAGUCGAACGAACCUUUCGGGGUUAGUGGCGGACGGGUGAGUAACACGUGAGAACGUGCCUUUAGGUUCGGAAUAACUCAGGGAAACUUGUGCUAAUACCGAAUGUGCCCUUCGGGGGAAAGAUGAAUCGCCUUUAGAGCGGCCCGCGUCUGAUUAGCUAGUUGGUUGGGGUAAUGGCUCACCCAGGCGACGAUCAGUAGCUGGUCUGAGAGGAUGAUCAGCCACAUUGGGACUGAGACACGGCCCAAACUCCUACGGGAGGCAGCAGUGGGGAAUCUUGCGCAAUGGGCGAAAGCCUGACGCAGCCAUGCCGCGUGAAUGAUGAAGGUCUUAGGAUUGUAAAAUUCUUUCACCGGGGACGAUAAUGACGGUACCCGGAGAAGAAGCCCCGGCUAACUUCGUG